CAAGUAUCAGGAGGCUCCUGUAAGGAGAUCAAGCCACUGACAGAGCAAGAAUUUGAGUUGUAAUGCUCAGAGGAGGGAUUCCUAACUCUAGAGCUAUGCGGCAGAAAACUGCCAGGGGACCCAGCGAAGGCUAACACCGUUUCCUUGAAAUGGUCUCUGUUAGAAGGGGUUACACGAGCUACUGCUUCAUAGCAGGGGAAAAGGCCAACAAGAUAUGAGAAAUAAUGGCUUUAUGUUACCAAGGGAAAAAAGCCCCAGGACCCUGCUCCUCAUGAGGCUGAAUGUUCUCCAGCUGUUUCUGCCCAGGGCAUAACUACCCAGAUGGAUGCUGCUUGGAUAGGUGCUUGAAGUUGCCUAAGUCAGUUGUCAACCUGAGCUUGUAAACCCUGCUGAGAGGUGCUUCCUGAGCAGCUGCUGGAAAGAGCUGACUCUGCCCUGCUGCUCUGCUCUAUGUGCCAUCCCAGUACCUGUUCCUUUGAUCGGAGUGACCCAGCAAUUGCCCCAGCCUCGAGCAGUGGCACUGGAUCCACAUGGCCUUAAUGGUGUGCUGUACUUAACAGCAGUUUCUCUAAGGUGGGAAAGGAAGCUGAGGAGUGUCGGGUCUGUGUACAAGAGAAGCUGCAAGAUUUUGUGUGCUUUCAGUGCUGCUGGCAGGAGGAAGAUGUGUGCUAAGAGCUCUCCAGGUGACCUAUUGACCUACUGAAAAUCUGGAUUCAAAUCUAAAUGGAGGAAUGUGGUGAGGAGGAGUUGAAGUUAAGCUGAGGCCUUGGCCUUUUGGAGAAAGGAAUAUAAGGUUCAUGGAACCAAGGAAAGAGUGAAAAAAACAAAGGAGCAUACAUCAGCAACAUCAUCUUCGGUGCACUCAUUUAAUAGUUGGAGUCCUGAACUUUAAUCUUGAAUUCCCCUGUGUCUUGGUACAUUUUAUGUUAAAAUGAAUAUUGGAAAUUAAACGAUACUUAAUCCAUUUCAGGUCCUCGUUCAACAAAUAAUGUGAUAAAUAAGACUCACCCCAGUUUUUGUAUAUAAUCUACAUUGUGAAUUCAUCCUUAUCUUGAUCAGAGGAAGAAAUGGAUCUGAAUCCCGUUGACCCAAGAAUGAAUGCAUUAGCUGUUCUUUAAAGCUGUAGGUUCUUCUACUUCCCUAUGGUGUUCUGGUUUUAUAAGAAAGAAAUUAAAGCUAUUGUUUAUAAAGAG
ensembl:lncRNA